UUUCAUCCCACAUCCCAAGAUUUAACUUAUUUCAACACCAAUUCAAAAGUCCAAGGUCCAACACCUCAACUAUAUCAGAUAUGACAAGAAUUGAGGCCUGAUUCAUCCAAAGGCAAAUUCUCUCCAGCUGUGUGACUAUCAAGUCAAAAUGUUAUCUACUUCCAAAAUACAGUGGUGGGGUGGGCAUAGGAUUGGCAUUCCCAUUCCAAAAG
rnacentral:lncRNA from 1 species